rnacentral:rRNA from 1 species
GAUGAACGCUGGCGGCGUGCCUAAUACAUGCAAGUCGAGCGAACGGACGAGAAGCUUGCUUUUCUGAUGUUAGCGGCGGACGGGUGAGUAACACGUGGAUAACCUUCCUAUAAGACUGGGAUAACUUCGGGAAACCGGAGCUAAUACCGGAUAAUAUUUUGAACCGCAUGGUUCAAAAGUGAAAGACGGUCUUGCUGUCACUUAUAGAUGGAUCCGCGCUGCAUUAGCUAGUUGGUAAGGUAACGGCUUACCAAGGCAACGAUGCAUAGCCGACCUGAGAGGGUGAUCGGCCACACUGGAACUGAGACACGGUCCAGACUCCUACGGGAGGCAGCAGUAGGGAAUCUUCCGCAAUGGGCGAAAGCCUGACGGAACAACGCCGCGUGAGUGAUGAAGGUCUUCGGAUCGUAAAACUCUGUUAUUAGGGAAGAACAUAUGUGUAAGUAACUGUGCACAUCUUGACGGUACCUAAUCAGAAAGCCACGGCUAACUACGUG